rnacentral:rRNA from 1 species
ACUCAAUAGAUACCCGGGUAGUCCACGCCCUAAACGAUCACAACUGGCUUUACGGAGUAUCGACCCUCUGUGAGGCGAAAGCUAAACGCGUUAAGUUGUGCGCCUGGGUAGUACGAUCGCAAGAUUAAAACUCAAAGGAAUAGACGGGGGACUUGCACAAGCGGUGGAUCAUGCGGCUCAAUUCGAUGACAAACGAAGAACCUCACCAGGGUUUGAAACCCAGACGAUCGCUCUAGGAAACUAGAGCUUCCGCAAGGCGGCUGGGCAGGUGAUGCAUGGUCGUCGUCAGUUCGUGGCUUGAGUUGUUCCCUUCAGUGGGGUAACGAACGCAACCCGCGUUGCCUGUUUUAUAUGUCAGGCGAGACUGCUCCCUCACGGGAGAGGAAGGUGCGGAUGACGCCAGAUCAGCAUGUCCCUCUGAUAUCCUGGGCUGCACGCAUGAUACAAUGGACGCGACAGAGAGACGCAAUACGGUAACGUGGAGCAAAUCUCAAAACGCGUCCCCAGCUCGGAUUGA